rnacentral:misc_RNA from 1 species
GAUGAAGAACGCAGCGAACUGCGAUAAGUAAUGUGAAUUGCAGAAUUCAGUGAAUCAUCGAGUCUUUGAACGCACAUUGCGCCCCCUGGCAUUCCGGGGGGCAUGCCUGUCCGAGCGUCAUUGCUGCCCUUCAAGCCCGGCUUGUGUGUUGGGUCGUCGUCCCCCCCGGGGGACGGGCCCGAAAGGCAGCGGCGGCACCGCGUCCGGUCCUCGAGCGUAUGGGGCUUUGUCACCCGCUCGAUUAGGGCCGGCCGGGCGCCAGCCGGCGUCUCCAACCUUCUAUUUUACCAGGUUGACCUCGGAUCAGGUAGGGAUACCCGCUGAACUUAAGCAUAUCAAAAGCGGAGGA